GACGAACGCUGGCGGCGUGCUUAACACAUGCAAGUCGAGCGGUAAGGCCCUUUCGGGGGUACACGAGCGGCGAACGGGUGAGUAACACGUGGGUAACCUGCCCUCAGCUCUGGGAUAAGCCUGGGAAACCGGGUCUAAUACUGGAUAUGACUCCACGACGCAUGUUGUGGGGUGGAAAGCCUUGUGCGGCUGAGGAUGGGCCCGCGGCCUAUCAGCUUGUUGGUGGGGUGAUGGCCACCAAGGCGACGACGGGUAGCCGGCCUGAGAGGGCGACCGGCCACACUGGGACUGAGACACGGCCCAGACUCCUACGGGAGGCAGCAGUGGGGAAUCUUGCGCAAUGGGCGAAAGCCUGACGCAGCGACGCCGCGUGAGGGAUGACGGCCU
rnacentral:rRNA from 1 species